rnacentral:rRNA from 1 species
GAUGAACGCUAGCUACAGGCUUAACACAUGCAAGUCGAGGGGAAACGAUAGAGAAAGCUUGCUUUUUCUAGGCGUCGACCGGCGCACGGGUGAGUAACGCGUAUCCAACCUGCCCAUCACUUGGGGAUAACCUUGCGAAAGUAAGACUAAUACCCAAUGACGUCCAUAGAAGACAUCUGAAAUGGAUUAAAGAUUUAUCGGUGAUGGAUGGGGAUGCGUCUGAUUAGCUUGUUGGCGGGGUAACGGCCCACCAAGGCGACGAUCAGUAGGGGUUCUGAGAGGAAGGUCCCCCACAUUGGAACUGAGACACGGUCCAAACUCCUACGGGAGGCAGCAGUGAGGAAUAUUGGUCAAUGGACGAGAGUCUGAACCAGCCAAGUAGCGUGCAGGAUGACGGCCCUAUGGGUUGUAAACUGCUUUUAUAAGGGAAUAAAGUGAGAGUCGUGACUCUUUUUGCAUGUACCUUAUGAAUAAGGACCGGCUAAUUCCGUGCCAGCAGCCGCGGUAAUACGGAAGGUCCGGGCGUUAUCCGGAUUUAUUGGGUUUAAAGGGAGCGUAGGCCGGAGAUUAAGCGUGUUGUGAAAUGUAGACGCUCAACGUCUGCACUGCAGCGCGAACUGGUUUCCUUGAGUACGCACAAAGUGGGCGGAAUUCGUGGUGUAGCGGUGAAAUGCUUAGAUAUCACGAAGAACUCCGAUUGCGAAGGCAGCUCACUGGAGCGCAACUGACGCUGAAGCUCGAAAGUGCGGGUAUCGAACAGGAUUAGAUACCCUGGUAGUCCGCACGGUAAACGAUGGAUGCCCGCUGUUGGUCUGAAUAGGUCAGCGGCCAAGCGAAAGCAUUAAGCAUCCCACCUGGGGAGUACGCCGGCAACGGUGAAACUCAAAGGAAUUGACGG